UAGAUAAUACCUACGGGAUAGUGGAACGUUACUCGCAAGAAUAAGCACCGGCUAACUCUGUGCCAGCAGCCGCGGUAAUACAGAGGGUGCAAGCGUUAAUCGGAUUUACUGGGCGUAAAGCGCGCGUAGGCGGCUAAUUAAGUCAAAUGUGAAAUCCCCGAGCUUAACUUGGGAAUUGCAUUCGAUACUGGUUAGCUAGAGUGUGGGAGAGGAUGGUAGAAUUCCAGGUGUAGCGGUGAAAUGCGUAGAGAUCUGGAGGAAUACCGAUGGCGAAGGCAGCCAUCUGGCCUAACACUGACGCUGAGGUGCGAAAGCAUGGGGAGCAAACAGGAUUAGAUACCCUGGUAGUCCAUGCCGUAAACGAUGUCUACUAGCCGUUGGGGCCUUUGAGGCUUUAGUGGCGCAGCUAACGCGAUAAGUAGACCGCCUGGGGAGUACGGUCGCAAGACUAAAACUCAAAUGAAUUGACGGGGGCCCGCACAAGCGGUGGAGCAUGUGGUUUAAUUCGAUGCAACGCGAAGAACCUUACCUGGCC
rnacentral:rRNA from 1 species